rnacentral:rRNA from 1 species
UGUCCAGACUCCUACGGGAGGCAGCAGUGGGGAAUAUUGCACAAUGGGGGGAACCCUGAUGCAGCGACGCCGCGUGGGUGAAGGAGCACCUCGGUGCGUAAAGCCCUAUCGGCAGGGAAGAAACAGACGGUACCUGACUAAGAAGCCCCGGCUAACUACGUGCCAGCAGCCGCGGUAAUACGUAGGGGGCAAGCGUUAUCCGGAUUCACUGGGUGUAAAGGGAGCGUAGACGGCGACGCAAGUCUGGAGUGAAAGCCCGGGGCCCAACCCUGGGACUGCUCUGGAAACUGUAAAGCUGGAGUGCGGGAGGGGCAGGCGGAAUUCCUGGUGUAGCGGUGAAAUGCGUAGAUAUCAGGAGGAACACCGGCGGCGAAGGCGGCCUGCUGGACCGUAACUGACGUUGAGGCUCGAAAGCGUGGGGAGCAAACAGGAUUAGAUACCCCAGUAG